GCCGUGGAGAUGGCUCGGCUGUGAGAGAACAGACAUCCCCUUCCACACCGUGUAGAACUCUAUGACACCCAUUCUCCAGAUUGAGCUCUUGGAAUCCCCAGGGGAUACUAAGGCGAUGUGGCAUAUCUUCUCUCUAGGCAAUGAGAUGUCUGGCAAGGCCACUGUCUGGACACAUUAUACUAUUUUGCAGCUCAGAAGCUCCUUGCAACCUUACUACACCUUGAAUUUCCUCUGCAAAAAAACACCAGUGUUUACCUUGCCUGAACAGUACUGCAGGCAGCUGCAACAUCACUUUGAGGAUUUAGGGGUGUCCUGGGGCGUUGAGCCGAGACAUGGGGCAAGAAGAGAGUGUCAGAACUGGUAUACCAUCCUGUAAAAUCUCAAAGGUCUGAGCUACGUCUCUGAUGUGAGGUGACAUAAGCCAUCCCUGAGAAGCUAAGGUCUCCAAGAAUGACUGAAACUCUGUCGUUCGUGUGGGCCUUUCCAAAAGAUUAAUGGGAAGGCGACAGAUUCCAGGGACUUCGCAUCCUUUUCAGAAGCAAGGGGGCUCUAAUUUAUACUAAAUGCUAAAUGCCACUUUUGGAUGGUGCCAGUGAGCUGACUACGUAACCUGCCUCAAAAUAAUUUAACUGGAAGAGAAGGCUACUCUUUUCUCCUAUCCCCUCGGCGUGGGUGGGAAGUUGUGAAUCAGCACAGCUAUAAAUCUCCAGAAAAAAACUUAUAUUAGCACCGUCACUACAGACAUUCUUAGCUUUGUGACUCAGUGGGACGUUUUUCUUCAGCACUAUAGUCUUAAUCACCUACUUUCUGGAAAUGAACAACGAAAAAAGAGAGAAAACAGAACUAACAGAAGUUCUAACAAACUUAAAAAGGACUCCCUUGACCUCAAUCCAAAUUGAGGCUGUCCUUAUCAAUGUGUGGAAAUUCCUGUUCCGUGGACAUAGAAUGUAAGGCUUUGAUUCUAUCUGGCUGAGUAAAGAGCUGUACAUUUGCUU
rnacentral:lncRNA from 1 species